rnacentral:rRNA from 1 species
ACAUGCAGUCGACGGCAGCACGGGGGCAACCCUGGUGGCGAGUGGCGAACGAGUGAGUAAUGCAUCGGAACGUGCCCCGUAGCGGGGGGUAACCAGUCGAAAGAUUGGCUAAUACCGCAUACGCUCCACGGAGGAAAGCAGGGGACCGCAAGGCCUUGCACUAUGGGAGCGGCCGAUGCCCGAUUAGCUAGUUGGUGAGGUAAGGGCUCACCAAGGCAACGAUCGGUAGCUGGUCUGAGAGGACGACCAGCCACACUGGGACUGAGACACGGCCCAGACUCCUACGGGAGGCAGCAGUGGGGAAUUUUGGACAAUGGGCGAAAGCCUGAUCCAGCCAUGCCGCGUGCGGGAAGAAGGCCUUCGGGUUGUAAACCGCUUUUGGCAGGAACGAAACGGCGCUCGCUAAUACCGGGCGCUAAUGACGGUACCUGCAGAAUAAGCACCGGCUAACUACGUGCCAGCAGCCGCGGUAAUACGUAGGGUGCAAGCGUUAAUCGGAAUUACUGGGCGUAAAGCGUACGCAGGCGGCCAUGUAAGACAGGUGUGAAAUCCCCGGGCUUAACCUGGGAACUGCAUUUGUGACUGCAUGGCUAGAGUUUGUCAGAGGGGGGUGGAAUUCCACGUGUAGCAGUGAAAUGCGUAGAGAUGUGGAGGAACACCGAUGGCGAAGGCAGCCCCCUGGGACAUGACUGACGCUCAGGUACGAAAGCGUGGGGAGCAAACAGGAUUAGA